UUUCCACAUCCUAUUUUCUUUUUUUUUUUUAAAGAUUUUAUUUAUUUAUUUGACAGAAAUAGAGACAGCCAGCGAGAGAGGGAACACAAGCAGGGGGAGCGGGAGAGGAAGAAGCAGGCUCAUAGCGGAGAAGCCUGAUGUGGGACUCGAUUCCAUAACGCCGGGAUCACGCCCUGAGCCGAAGGCAGACGCUUAACCGCUGUGCCACCCAGUCACCCCUCCACAUCCUAUUUUCUUGACAAACACUUUGUCACCAUCACCUACUGACUUUGUGUUAUGCAAACAAAUGGCCAUCAUGUACCUACCCUCGACGAGGUGUUCCUGACAGCGACCUCCUCAGUAUAUCGCGUUGCUUUCUGUUCACUCCAUCAGCCGAACGCUUCAGGGAAACGCGAAGACCUGUACAUGGUUCAGUUACGAAAGCAACCAACUGACAUAAAGUCAGGCAACUUUUCAACGACCGUCAGCAAAUCUUUCCAGGUUGCCCUGAAAGGCAAACACCACUUGAAUCACAGGUGUGGACAUAAAAUCAUACGAUUAUCGUCUCCUGAAAAUCAACCUGGGAGGGUCUGGGUGUGCUCAUCGAAGGACAUCGUCUCCCAGUUCGCGGAGCCACUUUCAGAGUCUGUGCCCUGGUUCUCCCAGUGUGGCCAGAUACUUGUCCUUUGGGAUGAACAUUCGACCUCACCUCCUCCUUCAGGAAGCUGGCGCUCACCCCACGUGUGGGUUUGAUGCCCCUCUUCUGCGUCCCCUGAGCAUCCUGCACUUAUGUCCGUCGACGCACUUAUCACACUGACUGUCUGUGUCCCCUGCCUGGCCGAGGGCUCCCUGAGGGCAGGGAAGAUGUCCUGUUUGAUUUGUAUCCCUGGGGCCAGGCACAUCCAGGACUGGUUGCUCAGUAAAUGUUUGUCAAUUGAAAAAAUGUGCAUCAUAGUUUUGGACUAUCUUCACUGCAAGCCCGUCUUUCUUCUUUUAACAGAGAACGUGAUUUUCAGAAAACAGAUGUGAUUCGGAAAUAUGCUGGGUGAACAAGGUAUUCACCAAACCUAAUAACACUGUCUUUAUUUAAAGAGGAGCUGUCAUCAUAAUGUAUUGAGUGCUUUUCUUCUGUGAAUCACGAUCUGUCUCUGAAAACUCUUGCAGAGAAGGAAUCACAAGAUGUUUAAGUGCCAAUAUGUGUUUAGCAAAAAAAGAUCAGACAAAUAACUAUUUGUGUUGAAAAUUAUUGAAUGCCUGCUCUAGGGAGCAGGGCCUACAGUUUAGAGGUAAAGAGCAUUACUCUGGAGCUGGAUGGCUUGGGUUCAAAUCCUGGCUUUGCAUCUAACUUAGCCGCAUAGUCUCUGACACGUCACUCAACCUGCUGGUACCCCAACAUAGAGUCAUUGGGAGGAUUAAUUGAGUUAAUUCCAUAAAGCGCUUAGCACACAGAGCCAACUGUCAUUGUGCGAGAAACAUCCGAGACAGGGAGGAGUCUGUAGCCAUAAGCAUCUCAGCGUGGUUUUAUAAGCACCGAAUGCCCUCCACGCAAUUCAAAACAUGGUCCUGAGAAUAUGAGUGUCAGUACAACCAGAUGCUUGGUAUUCAUGGUACUGAGGAGAACAGAAGGACCUGAGAGAGAACACUCUUCUACUAAAAUACUUCCUUUUUUUUUUUUUUUAACAAAGAAAUGGUAUGUGGUGUUAAUGCCUGUGAAAGUAUUCAGUGUUCCUCACUUCACUUUGAAUAGAAACCAGCCUGGACAGAGAAUUCAUAGCCUCUUAUCGUCAAUAUGUCUCUCUCUCAAACAAAAUUUGGUUCCGAUUUCAAAAACUAAGAUACAAUGUUGCUGUGAUCUGGAAAGGAUGGAAUAAUCUAGAGGGAUUUGCCGUUUUGCCAAGAUAAUUUGGAGCUUGACUAUGGAUUCAAAUUGCAUCAAAAUUUAAGAUUAGUAAUAUUAAAUAAUGAUAUAAUUUACAUUUGGGGAGCACAUGGUUUCAUUACUGUGUCAUUUCUGUUACUGUGCAGAACAUCGUUCUUUUCAUUAAAAUAUUGGUUGCCUUUUUUAAACUAGAGUUUCCCUGUCUCGGAAAUAGUCAUGAAGAUGACAAUUUAUCUUGCAAUCAGUUAUUUUGCAUGAUUCAUGAAGAAGCACUUUAAAAAUAACUUUGUAAUAAAGACAGAAAACUG
rnacentral:lncRNA from 1 species